ensembl:lncRNA
AUGGCUACCACCACCAUCACCACCAUCAUCACUAUCAUCAUCACUACCACCAUCAUCACCACAACCACCACCACCACCACCAUCACUAUCAUCAUCAUCAUCACCACCACCAUCAUCACCAUCAUUAUCACUACCACCAUCAUCACCAUAACCAUUACCAUCAUCAUCAUCAUUACCAUUAUGACUAUCAUCAUUAUCACCAUCAUCACCAUCAUUAUUACCAUCAUCAUCAUCACCAGCAUCAUCUGCAAUAGCAUCAUCUUUUCUUCUCCAAAGCUGAGAGUAGAGUUCAGGAUCACAGAGUAUGGCCAGAGCUCAGGCCAACUGGACAAAGCCUCUCUCGAUGACAGGGAGAGGUCAGCUUCUUGGCUGAAGCCACGGAACCCUGUAGCUGCAAAGGCCUUGGGCAUCAGCACUUGGAUGUCAAGUAUUUCUGGGCAGAAACAUGCCUUCCCGGGCCCGAAGAAGGCAUGAAGUGUCUGCCACACAAGGGUCAGUGCAGAGCCUGCUCUGGAGGGAGAUGCUCUGUGGGAAUAGGGCCUACAGGACCCAACAGGCAGCCACGUGAGCAAAGAUGAACUCUGGCCCUUGACCUGGGCCCGGCGACACAAUUAAUCAUCUCUGCUUUGUGAGCCGUGAGAACCAGGGAAGAAACUCACAGAGUGGCCCUGCUGGAGAAAUAGCCGAGGGGUGGGAGCCUUACCGUGGGAGGUGGGCAGAAGGAGGAGAAGAUGCAAGUGUGGUGCCCCAGGGGGUGGGGACGAGGAGAGCGGUGUGACUGGAGAGAGCUGAGGGAGGGAGAGGGCACAGGUGACACCUGAGAUGUCCUCUGAGGCGGGCCAAGGAUGGCCUUGAGGCCACGGUAAGGAAUUUGCCCUAGUCCCAGGUGAACCCCAGAAUGGGUGGUUUGAUGUUUCAGGACGACUCUGGCUCUAAGCAGAGAGCAUAGCGUGCAGGGUGGUAGGAACCUCAAUCACGCAGACAGGGACACCGGCCAGGAGGAGGCUUCCUCUUCCUCCAGGACAGAGAGGCACCGGCCCAGGGGAAAGAGACAGGGCGAAGAUAUUUAGCCACUCCUCUCAUCGGUCCUGGGUUCUGGAUUUGCGAAUUCACCUGCUUGCCACAAUUUAUUUGUAAGGCCCAAAACUAAUGUGCUGCGCUUUCCUGAUCAUUCAUGGACAUGUGCAGAUGGCGACACUGCCGAGUCGCCCUCGUGCCUACUUGCAGGUGAGUGCAAACGGGGCGACGAUCCGCCUUCUGGGUUCAGCUCGUACUAUAAACAAGGGUCUUCGGGCGGCCUAAGCAGUGCCGCAUUUUUUCACCUUUGUGCUUUUUGUUGGUGAUCUUGUUCUUUAAAAUCAUCCCCAGUUGCAUCUCCAGAUGCCAUCUGAAGUGCCGUCUACUGUUCCUGAGCACGAGGAGGCUGUGAUGUGUCUCAAGGAGAAAACACUUGUGUUAGAAAAGCUUCAUUCAGGCGUAGUGCUGUUGACCAGGAGUUCAUUGCUAAUGCAUCAACAUGUAUUAGAUAAGAUGUCUUUAAAGAGAAACACACACGGGGCACCUGGGUGGCUCAGUCGGUGAAGCAUCCAACUCUCGGUUUUAGCUCAGGUCAUGACCUCGAAGUCGUGAGAUCGAGCCCCGCAUCGGGCUCCACACUCAGCAGGAAGUUGGCUUGAGAUUCUCUCUUCCUCUCCCUCUUCCCCUUGUUCCCCCCCAAUAAAUGAAUAAAUCUUUAAGGAAACA